GGGGUUGUGGCUUAGCGGUAGAGCACUCACCUAGUGCGUGGGAGGCCCUGGGUUCGAUCCUCAGCACCACA
rnacentral:tRNA from 1 species